CAAUAUUUUAUACGAUCAUCAUGAUAUUCAGUAGAUAUGUUGGGUGAAGGCAUAUGAUCAUGAGGACAAAGCCAUUUUAAAAUUGCUCCAUAGGGGGCGCGAUGGUGCCAAUGCUUGGACCCCUCCCAACGCCGCUUGCGGCUUUAAUUGGUAGUUAUAUUUGCACCGUUGUUAAGAAAAAACCUCUGGUCGUUAAUUCUAUGAAAACAAUGAUUCUUUCAAAAGAAAUAGUUAUUUCUCAUUUUAUACCAUACAAUUUGCACCAAUUUUGGUCAUUUUUGUCAUUACAUUAUUUAAUAAAACUCCAUGAAACCAUAAGUCAAUCUAAUUCAUCUCCCUAGCACUGUCUUGCUUUUUAAAUGGUGUGGUCACGCAGUGUAGAACUAACAUCUUUCUAAAACCCUCUGAAACGGGUUUUGAAUGCCAGCUAGCUUUAUGAUAGGUUCACCGUCACUUGUCACCUAGCCAAUAUUAAAAUGAUUGGUUUUAGGUCAGAAUGGUCUCACGGCAUGCUUGUUAUCCCUGCUAGUUAGCUAGCUAACUAUUGAAUUGUAUUCAAAACAGCGGUUACUAUAAACGCAAUUGUUCAUAAACAUAUGGAUGAAAAUGCGUCCCGUAGCCAUGAGUUAAAUGCGGAAUGCCUAUUCUACUGUCCAAAUAAGGGAUGAUUCCAUAUUUUGCAGGAUGGUUGGCAACCGUAAUUAUAAAGCUAGCAACAGUAACUAGAAAUGUGAUUCAACGUUUCCAUCAAUUGUGAAAUUUGACAUUGAAAAGGGGAGUGGAUGUAACAACAAUUCAAGAGCAAAAGAAUAAUGUUGCUGUUUAAACUGCUUUAGAAUGCUGGAUUUUGUACCGCAUCAAUUUUAGAACUGUUAACAGGCCAAAGUGUCCUUUUACUGAGAAAUAAUGCCCACCCUUAGACCAACCGGAAUCGAAUAUUCAGCCAAGCCGUUGUAUAAUGGCAUAUAAUGUAUACAAUACGAAUAAGUGCUUUGUCAAAUGCAAAAUGGUAUGUCACAACGCCACCUAAGUGUGAGACACUUUGUUGUCUAUUGUAGUCUCUAAGCAGCCAGUAGACCAGUUUGCUGCUGGCAGUGAAGAAGAGGCAGUACCAAGCACCAGCCAUGAGCCCAUAACUCCAGAGUGGGCAGUGUCAGAGGCAGUGCCAGGACCCAGUAAUGUGCCCAGAAGGAUCCCUGCUGUGGAAGGCACAUGUAUAGAUGAGUCUCAUAGGCCUACUGAAGGAAGUGUAAAAGAGAGAGCAGAGUCUACUCAGGGACUGAUCACAGAGGCAACAACAGCUCAUCAGCAGACGCCUGAACCACAAGCUAAGAAAAAGACACAUGAAGAUGAGGCUGUUGAUUGUUUUGAUUACUUUGCUCGCCCUCAGUCACAGGAUAUAGAUAUGUUUUUUUGUUAUCAUCCUCAACAAACACCAAAACUUCCUAUACCAAAAGUUUUCAACAGCAAAGAUGGAACCAACCGCAAGUGGUUGACUUACUGUGAAAAAAAUCAAUCUCUGUACUGUACUGUCUGUUUGGCAUUUGCACCUUUGGUUAGUUAUAGCCCUUUCAUAAAGGGAGGCAUGAAAGCCUGGAAACAAAGGAUAGUGGAACAUGAAAAAAGUAAGAUCCAUAGAGAUAGUGCAGAUGCUUACUUUCUACAUGUAAAAAAGGCAGAUGUGAAAAGCCUGUUGAUUGGCAACCAAAUGUCAUGACAUAGCGAGCAAGUGAAGAAGAAACAUCAGGUGAUGGAGCACAUAGUGGAUGUCACUAAAGUUACAGGCAAAUGUGGCCUUAGCUACAGGGGAGAUAAAGCAGAGGCUCCUCUAGCUUGGAAAACAUUGCUGUUAAUCAUGGCAACGUCCUAGAACUGAUUCUACUCUUGAGCAAAUAUGACGUUUGCCUCCAACAGCAUGUAAACAGUUGCAUAGAGAAUAGUAAGAAGCAGCAUGAAACUGGCACAAA